rfam:Kluyvera intermedia strain CAV1151, complete genome.
CCCCGUAUCACUACGGGGCGUGUAUUCUGCAUUCGUAACCAGGGGGUCUGCUCGUG